rnacentral:lncRNA from 1 species
AUUCUUUCAUCUUUGUUGCUUAGUCCAUCAUUUCUGAUCUAAUAGAUGUUCACAAGCUCAGGUUAAUGCUUUUUAUCUUCCUUGUUUUAUUUUGAAUCCUUUUCCCACAGUCAAAUUAACAUAAUUCUUUGAAAUCCAUACAAGAAAAUGCUAAUUAUAGCCUUAAUGCCUCAAUAAGACGAAGCUAAUUUGUUGAUUUUAGUUAAAGGGCAAAUACAUAAACAAUAUCAUUCAAUUGUCAUUUGAUUUUUAUUUAUUUGUUAUUGUGUAUCUACAUGAUGGUUGUUGUUCUUAUUUCCAAUCUAUUUUCCUUAGCUUAAUUACUUGGAGUAAAAUUCUCCAAUUUUAAUAAAGGGGGAUAUUUAUUUUUAUUCUAUCAAAUUACCCUCAUAAAUAAAUUGAACAUAAUUCUGCUCACUAUAACAAUAACAAUAACAAUACACAUAGGUGGAAUUUGCAGAGGGUAAAUUUAGUGUACCCAAACCUUACGUCCAUUACAAAACAUAUGAAUUUAAAUAGGAAUGCAGACAGAGCUAAACACGGAAUAAAAUAAUUGUCUGAGAUAACUUCUCUUAAAAAUUUGUCAAGUAUAAAGUUGUUCUUCCACUUUCUGAAAUUAGAAGAUCACAUAUAAAUAUUUGUUCAUAGCUUAGUGCAGUUGCUCUCCGUUGUAUUUAUUUUCCAUGAUGCUCAUUCUUAAAGUAUCUUGAUUGUGCAAUUUACAAAUAUUGUAACAAGUGAUUGUUGCAUAAUCAAUAUUGAGUUGUUGAACUGAUUGGAGUUCUAACGCUUUUAUAUACCUACCAACUUUCUGUAGGCAAUGAAUCCUGAACAAACAAGAACAUUCCCGCACAAUGAAAGAGGCUUAUGAAAAGAAUAUCAAACGUUGUAAAAUAUAUUGAGAUAUGUCGUUAGCUGAAAGUGCCUUUAUUUUCCAUUUAUCUUUCUACCGAUCGAGUAGCUAGCACUUUUCGACCAUUUCCUCUACUUCUACAAUUAAUUCACUAGAAAGAUUUUUUCGGUAUAUUUUUUGUUCAAUUAUAACUUAUUAAGGAAUAACACAUAGUUAUUAUUGUAAUCUCGCCUUCAUUUAUUUGUACAGAGAUUGUGAGGAAAUCAUGAAUUUAAGUUUACUGAACCUCACCACUUUUUCAGGUAAAGAAUUCGAACCUACUCUAGCUAAUUGAAAUAUUAUCCCGCGGUUCUGGUGUUCCUGCAACCUUUUCUACUGUGUCUUCUUCCUCUUCUGGACUUACUAUAUCUUUGUCUAUUCUGCUAAAGUGCUUCGUCUGCUUUAAUGGUUAUUAUAGAAGCAUUUUGUAUUACGCCUAUUAUAAAAAAACUACUCUUACUAUUUUUUUCGAAAAUAAGUAACUUACUUAGGACUUCCACUUAUCAUUCAGAAUUUGUUGUCGUUCUGCUUUUCUUAGAGCUGAAGGAGAAAUAGAAAAGGUGAACGAUCUCAACUUCUCAAUUGUGUAUGCUCUCAGGUGGUAAUAUAAUUAUAUCGGGUAGCUACUAGGAUUCGAUCGGUUCCUAUAUAGGUAUUAAAUGAUUAUUAUGAAAGCAUUUUCUCCAUGUUUCUCUUCUUUUAUAAUAAGUGUGAGCUUGUGGAAAUUUCCAGACAUGUUGGAUGAAAGAUACAUCUUUUAGAGCUUGUGGAUUUUUUUUUUGAAGGUUCGAAAGUGUCUUACUUAUACGUCUGCAACCAGGUUGAAUGAAAGAUGGAUCUCUUAGAGCUUAAGGAAAAAUAUCAUCAUCUCUAGAGGUUUGAAAGUUGGAAUUUGUUUGUUAGAAUUAUUACAAACAACUCUUCAUUUGAAGGACAUUUCAUAAUCGUUUGAAUAUUUCUGUAAACUUUGUUCCUCAAUCCAAGUAUUGUGAAGUGUUAAUAUGUUGUAAACAUGAGAUUUAUGCUUUCUCUUUUAGUAUUUUCAUAUUGAAUUUCUUUUUAUCAAUCUUGUGAAGUACUCAUAAUACAAAGAAUAAUAACACUUAUAGGCUCGUGCCUUGCACGGGAACCACUUAUCUAGUAUUAUAUAA